rnacentral:rRNA from 1 species
GGGGAAUAUUGCGCAAUGGGGGAAACCCUGACGCAGCAACGCCGCGUGAAGGAUGAAGGUUUUCGGAUUGUAAACUUCUUUGAUUGGGGACGAAUAAUGACGGUACCCAAAAAACAAGCCACGGCUAACUACGUGCCAGCAGCCGCGGUAAUACGUAGGUGGCGAGCGUUGUCCGGAAUUACUGGGUGUAAAGGGCGUGUAGGCGGGAAUGUAAGUCAGAUGUGAAAUUCCUAGGCUUAACCUGGGCGCUGCAUCUGAAACUAUGUUUCUUGAGUGCUGGAGAGGAAAGUGGAAUUCCUAGUGUAGCGGUGAAAUGCGUAGAUAUUAGGAGGAACACCAGUGGCGAAGGCGACUUUCUGGACAGUAACUGACGCUGAGGCGCGAAAGCGUGGGGAGCAAAC